CCGGGACCAUCCGGUAAGGCUAAAUACUCCCGAGAGACCGAUAGCGAACCAGUACCGUGAGGGAAAGGUGAAAAGCACUUCGAACAGAAGAGUGAAAUAGUUCCUGAAACCGUGCGCCUACAAGCGGUCGGAGCUCGUUAAUGAGUGACGGCGUGCCUUUUGCAUAAUGAACCUACGAGUUGCCUUUGCCGGCAAGGUUAAGUGUGACGACACACGUAUCCGAAGCGAAAGCGAGUCUGAACAGGGCGUAUAGUCGGCAGUGGCAGACGCGAAACCAAGUGAUCUACCCUUGGCCAGGUUGAAGGCUGGGUAACACCAGCUGGAGGACCGCACCAAUAAGCGUUGAAAAGCUUCUGGAUGAGCUGAGGGUAGGGGUGAAAGGCUAAUCAAACUUGGAGAUAGCUCGUACUCCCCGAAAUGCAUUUAGGUGCAGCCUUGCGGGUUACUGAUGUGAGGUAGAGCGACUGAUAAGAUGCGAGGGCUUCACCGCCUAUCAAGUCUUGACAAACUCCGAAUGCGCAUCAGUUCUACCGCAGGAGUGAGGGCAUGGGUGCUAAGGUCCGUGCCCGAGAGGAGAAGAAUCCGGACCACCUGCUAAGGUCCCGAAAUGACAGCUAAGUUAAACUAACGAAGUCUGACUGCUAAGACAGCUAGGAUGUUGGCUUGGAAGCAGCCAUUCAUUUAAAGAGUGCGUAACAGCUCACUAGUCGAGGAGUCGGGCGUGGAUAAUAAUCGGGUAUUAAGUUGUCUACCGAAGCAGUGGGAUCAUUGAUAUGAUCGGUAGGGGAGCAUUCCAGUCAGCGUCGAAGGCGUACCGUGAGGUAUUCUGGAGCGUCUGGAAAAGCAAAUGUAGGUAUAAGUAACGAUAAAGGGGGCGGGAAACCCCCUCGCCGAAAGACUAAGGUUUCCUGAUCAACGCUAAUCGGAUCAGGGUCAGUCGGGUCCUAAGGCUCAGCCGAACGGCGAUGCCGAUGGCAGAAACGGUUAAUAUUCCGUUACUACCUUCAGGAGUGACGUGGAGACGCAGUAGUGACAGUGCCGCCAUCUGACGGAAUAGAUGGUUGAAGGGUGUAGGAGUCGAUCAUGGCAGGCAAAUCCACCAUGAGAUCCGAACCUGAUAGUAUGCCGCGUCCUUCGGGACAAGGCAAUAGUGCGCGUAAGCAUGCUGCCGAGAAAAUCCGCUAAACUUAAUCCUGCAGGUACCCGUACCGCAAACGGACACACGUAGUCGGGAUGAAUAUUCUAAGGCGCUUGAGUGAUUCACGGUUAAGGAACUAGGCAAACUGACCCUGUAACUUCGGGAUAAAGGGUCCCUACCCUUUUAUGGGAGGGCGCAGAGAAUCGGUCCAGGCAACUGUUUAACAAAAACACAGGGCUGUGCCAAAUCGAAAGAUCCAGUAUACAGCCUGACACCUGCCCGGUGCUGGAAGGUUAAGAGGAGAUGUCAUCGAUAAGAGAAGCGUUGAAUUGAAGCCCCAGUAAACGGCGGCCGUAACUAUAACGGUCCUAAGGUAGCGAAAUUCCUUGUCGGGUAAGUUCCGACCUGCACGAAUGGUGUAAUGAUCUGGACGCUGUCUCAACCGUGAGCUCAGUGAAAUUGUAGUAUCGGUGAAGAUGCCGAUUACCCGCGAUGGGACGAAAAGACCCCGUGAACCUUUACUAUAGCUUAUCAUUGAAUCUGGGCACGUGAUGUGUAGGAUAGGUCGGAGGCUUUGAAGCAGGUACGCCAGUAUUUGUGGAGCCGCUGUUGAAAUACGACCCUUUAUUUGUUUGGAUUCUAACCCGUGGAUACGGGGACAUUGAUUGGUGGGUAGUUUGACUGGGGUGGUCGCCUCCAAAAGCGUAACGGAGGCUUCUAAAGGUGCCCUCCGGCCGAUUGGUAACCGGCCUUAGAGUGUAAUGGCAUAAGGGCGCUUGACUGGGAGACUGACAAGUCGAUCAGGUAGGAAACUAGAGCAUAGUGAUCCGGUGUUUCCGUAUGGA
rnacentral:rRNA from 1 species